AUCGCUUCUCAGCCUUUUGGCUAAGAUCAAGUGUAGUAUCUAUUUUGCACAUGGCAGUGUAUAUACAUCAAUCCUACUCUCCCAAUUUUAUCUCACCCUGU
rnacentral:snRNA from 1 species